rnacentral:lncRNA from 1 species
CCCUCACGGUGGAUGGGCUGAAGGGGCUGCACGGGCCUGCCCUGGGGAUCUUGGCUUCUGUAUCCUGCCUUGCCCCACCCCUGCCUUGAGUCUGGGCACUGACGCAGCUCUCCCUGCAGCGCUGCCUGGAAGAGGAGUAUAUGAGGCCUUGCCACCCCUCUGAGGCAGCCCUGGAGCCCACCCUGGCAGAGCUAAAGGAACAGAAGAAGGCCAUGGAGCAGGAGCUGCAGGCAUCUGUGGGGCCUUCUUGUGUCUCUCCCAACCACAGGUAAACCACAACAGUAGACACAGGGCAGGGUGGACUGAAGGAUCAGACCACCACCCCUCACAGUUACUCUUUCUUGUCCAGGCAGCGGCCCUUGGGGUCCUCCACACAGGGCCUCAGACCCCCGCGUCCCCUCUGCGGGGUUGCACCUCUCCAGUGCUGCCUGCCUGCACCUCCUCUGGAGCCCUACCUUCGACCUCGAGGCCAGUCAGCUACCCACCGCUGGGGAUGGCAGCUUCAGUGCAGCCCCAGGGAAGGGCCAGCUUCCACACCCAUGUCCAGUGCAGCACCCCAAGCCCCAGCCUGAAGGGCUGGUCACCGAGUAGGCUCUGGCUUCUGCCACAGCGCACCUG